CCUACGGGGGGCAGCAGUGAGGAAUAUUGGUCAAUGGACGAGAGUCUGAACCAGUCAAGUAGCGUGAAGGAUGACUGCCCUAUGGGUUGUAAACUUCUUUUAUAUGGGAAUAAAAUGUUCCACGUGUGGGCUUUUGUAUGUACCAUAUGAAUAAGGAUCGGCUAACUCCGUGCCAGCAGCCGCGGUAAUACGGAGGAUCCGAGCGUUAUCCGGAUUUAUUGGGUUUAAAGGGAGCGUAGGUGGAUUGUUAAGUCAGUUGUGAAAGUUUGCGGCUCAACCGUAAAAUUGCAGUUGAAACUGGCAGUCUUGAGUACAGUAGAGGUGGGCGGAAUGCGUGGUGUAGCGGUGAAAUGCUUAGAUAUCACGAAGAACUCCGAUUGCGAAGGCAGCUCACUGGACUGCAACUGACACUGAGGCUCGAAAGUGUGGGUAUCAAACAGGAUUAGAUACCCCAGUAGUC
rnacentral:rRNA from 1 species